rnacentral:rRNA from 1 species
UACUCGAGCGGCGAACGGGUGAGUAACACGUGAGCAACCUGCCCCAGGCUUUGGGAUAACCCCGGGAAACCGGGGCUAAUACCGGAUAUGACCUUGCACCGCAUGGUGUUUGGUGGAAAGUUUUUCGGCUUGGGAUGGGCUCGCGGCCUAUCAGCUUGUUGGUGGGGUGAUGGCCUACCAAGGCGACGACGGGUAGCCGGCCUGAGAGGGCGACCGGCCACACUGGGACUGAGACACGGCCCAGACUCCUACGGGAGGCAGCAGUGGGGAAUAUUGCACAAUGGGCGGAAGCCUGAUGCAGCGACGCCGCGUGAGGGAUGACGGCCUUCGGGUUGUAAACCUCUUUCAGCAGGGACGAAGCGUAAGUGACGGUACCUGCAGAAGAAGCGCCGGCCAACUACGUGCCAGCAGCCGCGGUAAGACGUAGGGCGCGAGCGUUGUCCGGAUUUAUUGGGCGUAAAGAGCUCGUAGGCGGCUUGUCGCGUCGACCGUGAAAACCUGGGGCUCAACCCCAGGCCUGCGGUCGAUACGGGCAGGCUAGAGUUCGGUAGGGGAGACUGGAAUUCCUGGUGUAGCGGUGAAAUGCGCAGAUAUCAGGAGGAACACCGGUGGCGAAGGCGGGUCUCUGGGCCGAUACUGACGCUGAGGAGCGAAAGCGUGGGGAGCGAAC